AAUGCACACGUGAUAGGUGGGGGAGGGGAACCAAAGGCUAGUUUGGUACAAGUGAUUGACGCCGACGCAUCGAGGAGCAUCGGUUUCAGUGAACGUUUUAUAUGCAUGGAUUUCAUCUCAAGUUGAAGCUCAUUUACAGGUGAAGCUUGUCCUGUCCCAGGCUGAGAACAUAGAGAUGGCACACCUGCUUGUCAAGAUUCUAAUAUCCCACUUCCAGGAACAUGAAGAUGGACUGGUUUUGCAUGCAGACGUUGCUGCAUCUGCAUCUGAUGUCGAGAAGA
rnacentral:lncRNA from 1 species